rnacentral:tRNA from 1 species
GCAACGGUGUCCGAGUGGUUAAGGAGCUUGAUUAGAAAUCAAAUGGGUUCCGCCUCCAUAGGUUCGAAUCCUGCCCACUGUG